rnacentral:rRNA from 1 species
AAACACUUUCAGCAAUGGAUGUCUUGGCUCCCACACCGAUGAAGAACGCAGUGAAAUGCGAUACGUCAUGCGAAUUGCACAAUCAGUGAGUCAUCAAAACUUUGAACGCAUCUUGCACUUCC